UACGUAGGGGGCAAGCGUUGUCCGGAUUUAUUGGGCGUAAAGAGCGUGUAGGCGGUCUGGUAGGUCCGUUGUGAAAACUCGAGGCUCAACCUCGAGACGCCGAUGGAAACCAUCAGACUAGAGUCCGGAAGAGGAGAGUGGAAUUCCUGGUGUAGCGGUGAAAUGCGCAGAUAUCAGGAGGAACACCGGUGGCGAAGGCGGUUCUCUGGGCAUUACCUGACGCUGAGGAGCGAAAGUGUGGGGAGCGAACAGG
rnacentral:rRNA from 1 species